GCUGUCCCAGCACUGAGGAGGAAACACCAUGAUAUGUUGAGGACAGCUACAGUUCACUGACUCUGUGUGUUUGCAUAUCUGUCCUGCCUCUCUGCUCCCAGCCGUUAAGAGGCCAGUGUUGAUCAGUGGCUGUCCAGGCCUUUCAGAGCCACUGACACGCCGGCAGCACAAUGAUGAUGUCACUGAUUCCACUGCUGGCCACCCUGGGGCUCCUUGUUCAGGGUUCAUCAGGACAAAUCGUCCUGACUCAGUCUCCUGGAUCUCAGUCUGUUGUUCCAGGACAGACUGUCUCUCUCAGAUGUAAAACCAGUACGAGUGUUAAUAGCUGGCUGAGCUGGUACCUUCAGAAACCUGGAGAAGCUCCUAAACUCCUGAUUUAUCGAGCUACAAACCGUCCAUCUGGAGUUCCAGGUCGUUUUAGUGGAAGUGGAUCUGGGACUGACUUCACUCUGACCAUCAGUGGAGUUCAGGCUGAAGAUUCAGGAGUUUACUACUGUCAGCAGGGUGACAGCAGCCCGUUCACACAGUGAUACAACGUCGUACAAAAACCUCCCUCAGCUGGAGAGGAACUGAUCUGACUCAACAGCUGCACUGAAACUAAAACAUUAGAAGCUUCUCUGAAAGAAAACUCAUGAUUGUGUUAAAAAGUUAUAUUUUUAUUGUGGAAAUAUUUUUCAUACAA